rnacentral:rRNA from 1 species
GACGAACGCUGGCGGCGUGCCUAAUACAUGCAAGUAGAACGCUGAAGGAGGAGCUUGCUUCUCCGGAUGAGUUGCGAACGGGUGAGUAACGCGUAGGUAACCUGCCUGGUAGCGGGGGAUAACUAUUGGAAACGAUAGCUAAUACCGCAUAAGAGUAGAUGUCGCAUGACAUUUGCUUAAAAGGUGCAACUGCACCACUACCAGAUGGACCUGCGUUGUAUUGGCUAGUUGGUGAGGUAACGGCUCACCAAGGCAACGAUACAUAGCCGACCUGAGAGGGUGAUCGGCCACACUGGGACUGAGACACGGCCCAGACUCCUACGGGAGGCAGCAGUAGGGAAUCUUCGGCAAUGGACGGAAGUCUGACCGAGCAACGCCGCGUGAGUGAAGAAGGGUUUCGGAUCGUAAAGCUCUGUUGUAAGAGAAGAACGAGUGUGAGAGUGGAAAGUUCACACUGUGACGGUAUCUUACCAGAAAGGGACGGCUAACUACGUG